AUGCUCUGUAAAGUUAUAAAAUACAGGCCUAGAAGGGACCUUCAGGAAUCACCUGGCCUCUCUAAAUCAGGAUCACAUGCAAUAUAUAAUACAAGAAAUAACACAGAGAAACAUGCAGCAUUUGUAAAUUGCUCACAGAACUGCCUUUCUAUUUCUACCUGUUACUCCUACUCACUCACAAAGCAGCCUAAGUUUGCUAAACUCUGAGGUACCUACGGUGUUAGAAAUCUUUGGAGGUUUUUAAACACCUUAUGCUAAAAUUUCCCUCCAAAGCACACUGAUAAUUAAAACACUGCAACUUUACAAAGGUGGACUAAUAGAAUAGUUUAUGUUUCUGCUCAAAGAUACUUUCUAAAUCAGCAUCCCUCAUAUACCAUGUAAAAAUGUAUGUAGUUUAGCAUCUGAAUGCAUUACAACACACAUAUGUGAUUCCAUCACAAGUCCUGCUGUGGCCACAAACCCACCAAUGUUACAUUAGCCACUCUUAUGUUAUACACGCCAGCUCCGUGCUUUGGAGGAGACCUUGUCCAACAGCACCAAUUGGUGGAAAAUAAAUUUUAAUUUUAUUUUCCCCUUAAUUCA
rnacentral:lncRNA from 1 species